rnacentral:lncRNA from 1 species
GACGAUGCAUCGUCUGUUUUCAACAUAUCACUCUUCCACAAGUUAAUCUGAACCUGUAGCAUCAAGUAUUUGCACAUAAGGAAUAUUAGAAAUCAUGUGGGAAUCUUCACCUCGUAGCUUAAAUGCAAUCUUCUUGCUCGCGACAAUCUUCAACACCUCAAGAUUCCUCAUCAUCUCUUCCGGCAGCCUCUCCAAAUACGAGCACCGCUUGACCUCCAGUCGCCUGACCUCCGGCAUUGCACCUUCCUCCACUAGUAUGCUUCCUAGUGUGAUCAUAGAAUGAAAAAUCAGCACUUUAAGCACGCUAAAUCCGUUAUGUGAGAUCACCAUCUUCGAGCCCUCAUAUGCGCCGUCCAUCUUCAGGUACGACAACUUCUGCAGGUUCUCCAACAAGGGCAUGGGGUCUUCUCUCACACGAAGCCAAUCCAAUGUCAAAUGAGUGAGAUUCGGAGGGAAGACCGAGGGCAAAACGGGUAUCUCCCCGUGAAGCUUGAGCCGUGUGAUGCGAUGCAGGGAUCCGAGCCUGUCCAAAUCUAGGGUUUUGCAGUACUUGAGCUUGAGAUGCUCAAGCUUCUCCAUCUUCCCCAGUAAGUGGAAGAGCCGACUCGAAUUUGAUAUUCGAAAUAGAUUUAUGCCCAAUGUGGUUAGACUGGGCAUGUAUGCCACUUUUUCGACGUCUGCAUCGUUGAAAUUGACAUAGCUCAGCGUCUGGAGGAAUUUGAGGCCGCUUAUCUCCGGUGGCUUAUUGAAGUAGAACGACGACGCGUAGAGACGGCGAAGACAGAGCAUUUUUCCAAAAAUAUCGGACAUCUCGAUGUUAGUUAGCCCCCGAUGUCAAGAACUUCGAGGUUAACGAGCCUAGGAAGCCAAUUUGGCAUGUGCGAUAUGCCUGUGUUUCUCAGAUUCAGAUACUUCAAUCCCAUCAAUGCACCUAUUGAAACUGGUAGCUGUUUNGCUAAAUCCGUUAUGUGAGAUCACCAUCUUCGAGCCCUCAUAUGCGCCGUCCAUCUUCAGGUACGACAACUUCUGCAGGUUCUCCAACAAGGGCAUGGGGUCUUCUCUCACACGAAGCCAAUCCAAUGUCAAAUGAGUGAGAUUCGGAGGGAAGACCGAGGGCAAAACGGGUAUCUCCCCGUGAAGCUUGAGCCGUGUGAUGCGAUGCAGGGAUCCGAGCCUGUCCAAUCAG